rnacentral:rRNA from 1 species
GACGAACGCUGGCGGCGUGCCUAAUACAUGCAAGUCGAACGCAGGGGGGACGGGUGAGUAACACGUGGGUAACCUCCCAUCAGAGGGGAAAACACUUGGAAACAGGUGCUAAACCGAUACUGAUGGAUGAAACUGCGGUGCAUUGGCUAGGUGGUGAGGUAACGGCUCACCAAGGCCACGAUGCAUAGCCGACCUGGGAGGGUGAUCGGCCAAACUGGGACUGAGACACGGCCCAGACUCCUACGGGAGGCAGCAGUAGGGAAUCUUCGGCAAUGGACGAAAGUCUGACCGAGCAACGCCGCGUAAGUGAAGAAGGUUUUCGGAUCGUAAAACUCUGUUGUUAGAGAAACGGUAUCUACCCAGAAAGCCACGGCUAACUACGUGACAGCAGCCGCGGUAAUUC